rnacentral:misc_RNA from 1 species
GUCCAAAUCGCCGUGUCUUCCUCCCCAGGUCCUUCUCUUCUUCCUCCAUGCAUGCUCGAGAUACUCACAGUAUCCUUAUUGAUUCUUUUGUUUGUUCGUUUUUUGGGUGGGCUUUUUCCUGUUUGAAUUUUCACAGUGAUGAUUAAGCUCAAAAGCACUCUAUGAAGAUUACUAUCUUUUUUUACUCUGGUAGCGUUAUUGUAUUUUGAAGUCUAUUCCUGAUUCAAUUUUCUCUUAAUUACUAUCUAGUGAGGCUCCGAUUCUUUUGAAAUUUGAAUAUUGCUUUGGGUUCUGGAGAGCAUUGUCGCAAUCCAUAUUACUCAAUGCUAAUACUUUUGCUCACAACUGUGAGACUGAUUUGAAGCCUAAACCCAACUCUUUAGUCAAUUCUGUUCCCUGCUAAACAUUAUACGUCACUGUUUCUGUAGGAAGUACAGAAAGGCAAGCAUCAAGCAGCCCUCUUUUAAGUUGAAGUACGCAAAUACCAAAACGUUAGGUUUUCUGCUAGCGUGUUGAAGGAUUGCAAGGUUUAAGGUGCGAUUCGUUUUGUAAAAUUUGAUGUCCAUGGAGUUUGGCUCAAUAAACCGAAUUGUUGAAGCGUGGUUUUCUAUUAAAUUUGAAUCAGGUUCAACGGCUUAUAGAUGCAUCGCAUAAGGUCUUAGGAGAAUAGGAAAUCCAUGAAUUUUAGAGUAUUCUGUGUAUUCUUUCCUACAACAUAAAUCAGCCGGUUCUGGUCUUUUUUAUUUACCCAGCAAUAUGCGAGGAAGGAAGAUUCGGAAAGGAAG